GAUUAAUAGCGCCUGGACAAUGUUUUUAUAUUGUUGACGAGGAAGAAACUUAUCGAAAUAUUCGGCGGAUGGUUUCUUGGUAUGUUACUUACCACAAGUAUUAUGGCAAAACCUAAUAGUGAUAUUAGAACAAAUCC
rnacentral:ncRNA from 1 species